AUGAGCGGCGGCGGCGGCGGCGACGGCAACGGCAACAUCUGGUCCGUCCUCCAUCUCGACUCCAUCCUACACCGACGGGCGAUGUCAACCACACCGUCGGCAAGUCAACCACCAGGCGUUGGUGCUUCAAGCACAGCAUCAACGGUACAAGGAGAAGCUGCCGUUGUGAAUGUGAAAUCAAAAGACCCAGGAUGGAAAUAUUGCAUUUGUCCUGAUGAAAACAAGAGGAAUUCUUUGAAGUGCAUUUUCUGUCAUCAUGUGUACACCAAUGGUAUUACUCGAAUCAAGCUCCACCUUGCAAACAUUCCAACUUCCGGUGUUGUUCCCUGUACAAAAGUGCCAGCUGAUGUAAGGGAUGAAAUGACUGAGUUUUUGACAAAUAAGGGUGAUAAAAAGGCAGCAAAAAUUUCAGAGCAGAAGAGGAUUAGAAGUGAAGUGGACUUGAGCCACUCAGAGGGGGAAGGUUCAAGUGAUGAGGAUGGCAGAAGAAAUUCUUUUGUUAUGCUUAAGUCAGCGAGAGGCAAAACAUCUAAAUCCUCAGGUGGGCCUAUGGAAAAAUUCUGCCAACUAUCACCUGAAGAUGCUAUAGCUGCAAGGAAGGCAAAAUCUAGUGAGAGCAUUCAAUUAAAGCUGACAAGUGGGGAGAGACUGAAGAAAAGGAACCGUGCUUGUCCUAGUCCUUAUGAAAUGGGUGGCCCAUUCUUGAAGAAGAGAAAGAAGAAAGUGAUGGAAUCCUUCAAGGCUCACAGGGAAGCUUGGGAGCUCACUGGAUGUACAAUCAUGACAGAUGCGUGGACCGACAUAAGAGGAAGAGGGGUAAUGAAUUUGGUAGUCCAUAGUGCAUAUGGUGUGGUUUUUCUCGAUUCUUUUGAUUGUUCAGCUGUGAAGAAAGAUGGCAAGUACAUCUUUGACCUUGUAGAUGAUUGCAUUGAAGAGAUUGGGGAGAAACAUGUAGUUCAAGUGGUGACUGACAAUGCAAGUGUGAAUCAAGCAGCAUCUACAUUGUUGAAUACAAAGCGGCCCAACAUAUUCUGGAAUGGUUGUGCUGCCCAUUGUAUUGAUUUGAUGCUAGAGGACAUCGACCUUGUGUUCAUCAAGUUCAACUCCAAACUAAAGGAAAAGAGAGUGAUGAAAAACAGGGACCUAAUUGAGGACCACACAUUUGUAGAUGUUGUAGAAGAUGAAGGAGAAGUUGCUCCAUCAAAAAGAAAGAUAGUGUCUCAAUCUCGUCCUAGGAAGAAGAAGUUGCUUCCUAUUUAUGGUGAUGAUGAGUUGCAAUCAGCUGAGUCUUCUUCUGAAUCGAAAGAUGAUGAAAUGCAUUUACCAGUGAUUCUGAAUAAUUUGAUUGUACUAUGUUGUAAUGUUGUUCCCUUCGGUGGCUAUUGA
rnacentral:rRNA from 1 species